rnacentral:rRNA from 1 species
AUUGAACGCUGGCGGCAGGCCUAACACAUGCAAGUCGAGCGGGGUUUUCGGACCUAGCGGCGGACGGGUGAGUAAUGCGUAGGAAGCUGCCCGAUAGAGGGGGAUACCAGUUGGAAACGACUGUUAAUACCGCAUAAUGUCUACGGACCAAAGUGUGGGACCUUCGGGCCACAUGCUAUCGGAUGCGCCUACGUGGGAUUAGCUAGUUGGUGAGGUAAUGGCUCACCAAGGCGACGAUCUCUAGCUGGUUUGAGAGGAUGAUCAGCCACACUGGAACUGAGACACGGUCCAGACUCCUACGGGAGGCAGCAGUGGGGAAUAUUGGACAAUGGGCGCAAGCCUGAUCCAGCCAUGCCGCGUGUGUGAAGAAGGCCUUCGGGUUGUAAAGCACUUUCAGCGAGGAGGAAGGGGUUGUAGUUAAUAGCUGCAACCUUUGACGUUACUCGCAGAAGAAGCACCGGCUAACUCUGUGCCAGCCGCCGCAGUAAGAC